rnacentral:rRNA from 1 species
CCUACGGGUGGCUGCAGCAGGGAAUCUUGGGCAAUGGGCGAAAGCCUGACCCAGCGACGCCGCGUGGAGGAAGAAGUCCUUCGGGGCGUAAACUCCUGGACUGGGGGACGAGGAAGGACGGUACCCCAGUAGAAAGGGACGGCUAACUACGUGCCAGCAGCCGCGGUAAAACGUAGGUCCCGAGCGUUGUUCGGAUUCACUGGGUGUAAAGGGCGCGUAGGUGGUUGUCUGUGUCUCAUGUGAAAACUCAGGGCUCAACUCUGAGAUUGCGUGGGAAACUAGGCAGCUAGAGGACGGUAGAGGGGAGUGGAAUUCCCGGUGUAGCGGUAAAAUGCGUAGAUAUCGGGAGGAACACCGGUGGCGAAGGCGGCUCUCUGGGCCGAUCCUGACGCUGAGGCGCGAAAGCUAGGGGAGCGAACCGGAUUAGAUACCCCAGUAGUCA